rnacentral:rRNA from 1 species
UACGGAGGGUGCAAGCGUUGUCCGGAUUUAUUGGGUUUAAAGGGUGCGUAGGUGGCUUAUUAAGUCAAUGUUUAAAGUCUGCAGCUUAACUGUAGGUAUGGCAUUGAUACUGAUAGGCUUGAGUAAAGUUGAGGUAGGCGGAAUUGAAGGUGUAGCGGUGAAAUGCAUAGAUAUCUUCAAGAACACCGAUUGCGAAGGCAGCUUACUAAGCUUUAACUGACACUGAGGCACGAAAGCGUGGGGAUCAAACAGG